ACAGUACAAACUGAUCAGGCAAUAAACUUAUUAAGUUUGUGAAGCCGGGCCUUAAUUGGCAACAGGAUGAUUAUUACGCCUGUGGGACAGUG
rnacentral:ncRNA from 2 species